CACAUAGGUACACAAUUCCACGAAUCAAUCUACAUUUUUAAUGACACACGCACACACAUAUAUAUACAUAUAUAGGAACUGCUAAGACACUUCAUAUCUCAAAAUAUCACACUUAAAAAGUUAAAACCACUUUCAAGGUCUUUUUCUCUUCUUAUUGCUCUGUAUUUGUCAUGUCUGGGCUGGUGGAUAUGUGGACAAGCGAAGUCGCUGAGAUGCGAAAUGAGACCCGAACCGCUUCCCCAAGCGGCUCAAGCCCGGCCACUCCCGAGUCGACCCAAGUGGUUCAAGCACAAGAAAAUGGUUCAACCACUUUGAUCACAAGUGUCUUGACCAAACUUAAUUCACGCUUGUCAAAACACUCGGAGGCUUCACUCUCUAUGCUCGUAGAAUGCUUUAGCCCUUAAUAUCGACAUCCGCGCACCGAAUUUAUAGGGUGGGCAUGUGGAUCCAUCCUCUGAUUUGGUGCAUUCAUUGUGUCGUGUUUUCAUUUUUUUUGUGUGUGUGUGACUUGGUGAUGAUGUGUUGUUGCUUUUAAAGAGUUCGAUUGGAGUUAUGUUUAAUAAAAUAACUGUGUAGAUAAAGUAUCUCUCUUUUUCCAUGUUGAAAAUCUAUGAAUGGGAGGGAAGGGUGUUGUUACCUUAAUUAGACAAGAAAAAUUAGCAUACUGAUACUGCAAUUAAUGGGCUUCUAAUUAAGUUCAUAUAUUCUAAUUGUUGUGUGUGUGUGUGGUGUGGGGGGGGAACCCUUCCCCUGGGCUGGAUCUUCCACUACCCAAUUUUUCUAUUCUUCUGUUCAAUCCAAAUUUUUUGAACAGUUUUUUUUUAAAAUUAUCCUUUAGUAACUCCCAAUAACGUAAAAGUGUAAUAGCGACUACAACCGAAUAACUAAAGUAGCAGUUUGGCUAAAAUAACUUACCAACCAAAAGUAUCUGCAGCAGAGUUUUAGUUAGAACCACACCUUGCUACAAUUGCUGAGGCACUCACUCUACACUUUCUAUUUCAUUUUUUAUUCCAAAUGUCCUUCUCCUUCUGCGUGAAUCCAUGUUCUCUGCUCAUCUCUUUCAUACACCUUUGGUCAUGGAAGAAUUGCAGAUGAUGUAGUUCGGUAUUCUCUCUCCUCUAUCUGUUUUUGUUUUGUUUUGAGAAGCCUUCUCUAUUUGUUUGAGUUUAAGAAAAGAAGAGACAACAAAAAAGAAUAGAUUUGAUCUCCGAAAAUCCAAAAUCUUCCGUUUUAAGCAUCAGAAACACAACACAUAAACGAUCAUCUCCGUCUUUUUCCUUUCGGUUCUCCCAAAAACACAAUCCAAUGAAACAAAAUUGAACCCAGAAAGCCCAAGCACCAAAACCCUAAAAUUUCUCGAAUUACUCAUUCAAUCAACAUUAAAAUAGAGCAAUCAAUCAACAAUAGAUCCAAGAAAGCGGCAAGAACCAUGGCCAGAAGAGAACUCCUGUUUUUUGAGAGAAGCUGGAAAACGGUUCUGGAGUGUUGUCUUGUUCGUAAAAUAGGAAGAAUAAAUAAACAAUAGUUUAAACCAAAAUAUCUAAAAUAGAAAGAGCUUGUUGUUGUUGGAGUUGGAUUUGGAGUUGGAGGGUACAUGAAAAAAAAAGUUUAAAAAUAUUGAGAUUUUGGAUAUGUAUUCACUAGGCUUGUUGGAGAUGCUCUAAAAGUAGCAUUAGCACGUCAAUUCAUGGUUAUAAUAUUUUAAUAAUAAAUAAAUAUUUGGGAAUAUUUAAAAAAAAAUGCACAAGCAAAAAUGGGACCAAUGGAAUCAUUUUUAGUUAAGCAUGAGAAAGGGCCCUUCCUAAGCUUUAUUUUUUGCAUGACCAAUUAUAAAUAUGUGUGUGUGUGUUUGCUUGAAUUUUCAAUUUUAACCCCCAAAAAAUGAUUGAAUCCUUCACAACUUGUUUUCAUCCUAAGAGCCUGCCUGAGGAUAUUUGAUAUCAUCCUUGUAGAUUGAUGGGAUCUUUUCACAAAAAAAUCAAGAUAUGUUCACCAGCUUCUGGCAUGAAAAUUAAAUAAAUAGGCUAUUACUGGCUUCUUAGAUUUUUGAGAAGAAAGAUAUUUGUGAAGUUUCUUUUUUUUUUGUUUUCUCUCUCUUCUUUUUCUUUUUCUUUUUUCUUUUUCUUUUCCUCUACAAAUUAUUUAAUAGCUAUCUUUGGAUCGAUAAUUUAGUGAGAAAAAUAAAAAUAAAAAUAAAAAAGUUAAAAGAUUCAACUAUUCAAAAUUGCUAGAUAUACAAACUAUUUUAUUUUUAUUUUUAUUUUUUUUUUCUUUAUUCGUUACUAAAUUCUUAAUCCAAACACAGUCUAUAAGAAUCCAACAUCCAAAACACAACCACAAAGCAUAGAAGCCUCGUUUGGGCUAGUUAAAAAAUCUUAGCUUUUGCAUUUUUGGAUUAAAUAGGCGAUGUAAAAAGAAGAAACCUAAUUUUAUUGUUGAAGAAAUAGCUAAAAAAUCAUGGUGCCUUUUUGGUUAAUAAUUUUAUUUGAUGUUUAGGAUAUGAAGUGAAUUUUUAUUUUUUUCAGUGUAACUUUACCAUUUUGCCCCCAAUUGUGAAAAAAUCUCGGUCAAACGGGCCAUAAAAAACGUGCUAAAAAUUCAUACAUCCAUUUAUAAAACACAGGCCAGGCAUGAAAAAUAUAUAUAUAUAUAUAUAUAUUUUAGUUCAAAAUCAGCUAAAAAAUCAGGCCAAAUGGGACUGAAGAGAUUUUAUUUUAGUAGGAAAAGGGGGGUUGGGGGGGGGUGGGGGGGGUGGGGGGGGGGGGUGGGAAAGGAAGGAAGAGGAAGAAAAAGGCAUCCUACAUGUGAUAUACUUCAAUAAUUGAAGGAAACUAUAAAGAAAUGAAAGAUGUGUUUGACAAGUUCAAAGCAAGUCAUCUCAUGAUUCUCAUCCAUCAAUUUCAGGAGAAGGUUUCCAACGCUCUUUUUGGAAUUUCCAGUGGGUGAGCCAUAAUGCGCCAAGUAUGGGGGUUGGGAUUUGGGGACAUUGUUUCUAAAACCAUCUACCCCAUUGGCUCUUUAUUAUUUUUCUUGUUUCUAAAUAAGAAUCUGAUCACAAGUAUCUAAAUAGACGAUGCAAAACUUAUGUAAAGCACUCCAGUAGGAGAAUUAAAAAUGAAAAUAAAAAUAUAUACGCAUUUUCCUAUAAGUUGAAAUGUCUUUAAAUUACGGUACGAUUGGAUUGAAG
rnacentral:lncRNA from 1 species